AUCUUCAUCCGACUCGCCGAGUCAGAUGAACAGACUCGACGAGUUGUUCUUAAUCCUCAAGGAGAUUGCCUUGGACUCGCCGAGUUGUAUGAACAAACUCGCCGAGUCCCUCCAUUACUGAGUCUACUCUUAACUCGCAGAGUCCACUCCCUAACUCACCUCGCCCACUCGACACUGAAGAAACUGAAGAACUCGGGACUCGCGACCUGNNNNNNNNNNNNNNNNNNNNNNNNNNNNNNNNNNNNNNNNNNNNNNNNNNNNNNNNNNNNNNNNNNNNNNNNNNNNNNNNNNNNNNNNNNNNNNNNNNNNACAUGUGGUGUGACGUGUCCACCUAAUGGCUAACUCCCAUUACUCAGAAUCCCACUAAGCACAAAGCAAGCAGCAUUCGGACAAGGGAAACAGACUCACGCAAGCUAUUCUUAUAACAAGAAAUUGCACUAGCAUAGGAUGCUAAGCUCACACUAUCAGGCAUAACCUAAACAGGCUAUCCUACUGCUGUCUACUCAAUUCUAGCAUGCAAUAUUCAUAGAGCUGUAACACAUAAGCAGGCACAUAAGGCAUUCUCCUACACCCUUAGCCCUAUUCUAGCAUGCUGUUCUACUAAACUGAAAUUGAACAAAUAACUUGUAUGGGUAAUUUGGGAGUACUUACUUGAGCUCGGUUGACCGCAUGCACACACCUCUAUCUUAAAACAAUUCUUUUCCUUCUAAGUGUUUUCAAAAUUCUUUUGUAAAAACAUUUUAUUAAAAAUCUUUUAUUUCCCCUUAGUUUGAGUUCAGAUACACCCGAGAGUGUAUCCGAAUCCCUCAAACCAGGGCUCUGAUACCAACUUGAAACGACCCAAAAAUACGACCCAAAAAUUUCGUUUUUAAUACCAUCAAAACUAUAAUCAGAGUAUCAUAUAGAUAAACCAUGCGUGAUAUGUCCCAAAAGAUAAUAAAGUACUGUGCGGAAAAUGUAACAUGCUAUAUCCAAAACAACAACUAAAUCAAAACCAACUAAAGCUGAAACGGUGGUGUGUGCGAUGCCGUCAUCCAGAGCUCUUCCCUUUGCUUGCGGAAGUACCUGAAACCAAAACUGAAACUGUAAGCAUGAAGCUUAGUGAGCUCCCCCAACUUACCACAUACCAUACAACAACAUAUAAACACAUAUUGGGCCUUGCCCACUGCAUCGGGUCGGGACCCGGAAAACUGCAUCGGACCGAAGUCCGGAACUGACUGGGACCUUGUCCCCUGCAUCGGACCGAAGUCCGGAACUAACUGCAUCGGACCGAAGUCCGGAACUGACUGCAUCGGACCGAAGUCCGGAACUGACUGCAUCGGACCGAAGUCCGGAACUGACUGCAUCGGACCGAAGUCCGGAACUAACUGGGACCGUGUCCCCUGCAUCGGACCGAGGUCCGGGACUGACUGCACAUAGCAUAGCAUAUCAUAACAAUUUAUACUGCAUACUGCAUCGGGCCGUGGCCCGGAACAUAAACACAUACACAUAGCACAUAAAACAUGUCUGAACCACGAAGGCAUCAAACAUACUAACUACUACAUCGGACCGAAGUCCGGAAACUACUAUUAACUGGACGGGCCGGCAUUGUGGCCUUAGACCCGCCCCUACGGGAAGGAAACUCACCUCGUAAGCUAGCGGAUGAGAGUGCGGCUCGGAAAGCUAACGGCUGCUGCUCCUGAAUCUCCUCGGCUACAAAUCCAUAAACACACUCAAUCAAUCACUAGCACUACACUCAGGGUAAAAUGACUCUUUUACCCUUGGUCAAAGUUGACUUACUCAGGGCUGACUCGCCGAGUCGGAGACUCUCCGUUCAACUCUUACCAGCUGUUACUCGUCGAGUGUGGCAUCGACUCGACGAGUAUCCUCUGGAUCCAAAAACUCAGAUGAUCUUCAUCCGACUCGCCGAGUCAGAUGAACAGACUCGACGAGUUGUUCUUAAUCCUCAAGGAGAUUGCCUUGGACUCGCCGAGUUGUAUGAACAAACUCGCCGAGUCCCUCCAUUACUGAGUCUACUCUUAACUCGCUGAGUCCACUCCCUAACUCACCUCGUACACUCGACACUGAAGAAACUGAAGAACUCGGGACUCGCGACCUGACUCGUCGAGUCGUUCCUCCGACUCGCCGAGUCGCCGCCAUGCAACAUAUUUUUACUCGAUUUCUCUUGAAUCCAACACAUGCAAAUGAUAGAUCUAGGUCCAUUAAGCUGUUUUACCACGUAAAGUUUCCAACUUUACGCGCACAACCACAUGAAUGAGGGAAAUAAGACUAAAAUAUGCACAAUAAGGGUAGAUCCAUGGCUAAUAAGCAAUGUAACUC
rnacentral:lncRNA from 1 species